rnacentral:siRNA from 1 species
ACGGAUGUGCGGAUUUCUUAGCCA